rnacentral:ncRNA from 1 species
AAAGAGACAUGGAAGAGGAGUAUUAAGAGCCUAUCGUUUUCAGAGAGUUGCCGGCAGGUGCAAGGCAAUGACGUAAUCUCCCAACUCGCCUCGGAGUUCUUCUGCUGAACAGGUCAGACAUUUAUCGUAAGGACAACAUAGGCAGGAGCGGGACUUCCCGUUACAGAAGCAAUGAGUGCAUAUGAGAAUUCAUAUGAAGAAGAGUGGUACCACGGAAUCAAGCCUUUUCGUCUCUUUG